AGUCCACACAUCCAAUGCAACAUUUUAAUUUCCGUUAACUUUAUUUUUUAAAUGUGGGAGUUCUUGAUUGGCCAACACUCUGCUCCAUAUAGCAUAGCAGGACGGACUACCGCUCUGUAGAUAUCUAAGAAAUUUAAUCCUCCACAAGAUUUGGGGAAAGACAGUUUUUCCUAGGCAAUUAAAGAUAUUUUGGAUGCUUCAACGUUACCUGUCCAUAUGAAUCUCCUACAUAUGCCCUCUAUGACCUGUAUAAGCUUCUUAGGUAGACAGAAAUUUGUGACCAAAAGAUUUGGAUGGCAAACUAUACAUUUUUGAUCAGUUGAGCUCUCCCAGCAUACGAUAAGAACCUGGUUGUCCAGCUUGUUAUCUUGCUCAGCGUCUUGUCAACAAGGGGUUUGCACUGAACCACAGAUAAUCUCUUAGUACUUAAUGGAACUAAAUGGUAGAUCACCUUUUGUGAAGUGAAGUUCUUGCAAGAUUUGAUCCUGAAGAGCUUGCUUUACUCCCCAAAAUAUACAUUACUCUUUCCAGUGUUUGCUACCAAACCUGAUACCCGUGAGAACAGUUAAAAACAUGACUACAAGCAUUUGACAGACUUCAAAUCUCCCUUGCAAAACAGUAAUAAAUCAUUAGUAAGACUAAGUUGCACAAUUUUUUGUGGCUUGCAUCUUGGAUGAAAGUGGAAUUUUGUAUUAGUGUGUAAUGUCUUGAUUAUUCUUGUGAGAUGGUCCAUAGCUAAAAUAAAGAGGUAAGGAGACAAGAGGUCUCCUCGCCUAAUUCCCCUCUUAGCCUGGAAUGGUUUGGUAGCCUUGCCAUUUACCAGCACUGAAUACUCCACAGUUGUAACACAUUGUAUUAUCUAUUUGAUAACCUGUUCUGGGAACUUCAAUUCUGCAAGCACUUGUUCUAAGAAGGACCACUCCAGGGAAUCAUAUGCUUUCUUCAUAUCAAUCUUUAUCAUACAUCUUUUAGAAAACCCUUCCUUCCAUAUCCUUUCACCAAUUCAUGGCUAAAUAUGAUAUUAUCAUUCAAUGCUCUACCAGGUACAAAAUUUGCCUAGUUUGUAUCCGCCAAAUGGUUCAUGACCUGCUGUAAUCUGGAAGUGAUUACCUUGGAAAUGAUCUUAUACAUAGUGGAGCAACAAGAGAUUGGUCUAUAUUCACCAAUUGAUGAUGGGUUGUCUACUUUGGGUAUUAAAUUAACUGAGAUACAUGUAGACACCUAAUUUUGUCCCUAUUGAAGUUCAAUUUUAUUCAAUUCUAGCUCAUCUUACCACGUACCCUCACUCAUUCUACACUUCCCCACAAGAACACAAAUAAUAACCAAAUCGUGACAAAUUAAAUCCCAAAUUUCUAAUAUUCCCUUAUCCUAAUUAAUUUUUACAACUCAUCCUAACCACUAUCCUACCCCACCCACACCCCUUACCCCAUACCCCCUACCCUACCACACCCCCAAGUCACGCUUUUUCCAUCUUUUUUUAAUAAUAAAAUACAUGUACAGGGAGGAUGGGAUACAAUUGAGGGGGGCGGCUCCAUUUUUCUUUUUCAUUCAUGAUUACUUGUUGGAUCUUUUUUAGCCUCACCGGAAACACACAUAUACAGACCAUACAUACUUACACACAAAAAAGAGCUCACGGGAAUUUCUCAACAUAUACACCACUACACAAAAACCCCUACAGAAUUCCACUCUCAAAUGCAGAAGACACGCAUCGCAAACUCGCCGAAAAACGCAUACAUACUAUACUGUUAUAUACCUACGCACAGAUCGGAGAGGAAAGAGAUCGAGAGAGAGGGAUAGUGAAGAGGGAGCUUGAGGGAGAGAAACAGCGAAAGGAGCUCUAUUCCGACGACCCAAGGUCAUCGGAGCUUCGGUACCAAUCCAAAACUCAACAAAAUUAGAGAUCAAACUACUCCGUCGGAAUCCUUCACUGUCCGGCAACCACUAUUCCCCCAAUUCUUAGAACCAGUGACGAAAAUAAGCCAAAAUCGGCUAUGUUGAACUGAUCUUGGCAAAGCUUCGCCAGAAAAUAAUGCAAAAAUGGGUACGGGCUUUCCCCAUUCGUGAUUCUGUUACUGGUUUGACAAAAAAAUAGUGAAAUCCCGAGGCUGGGUUGAUUCAGAUUAAGGUUGGUUGAGGUUCGUUGGUUCGUGAGCUUCACUUCAUCUCUAAUUGUUUGGAAUAAAACUGAGGUUCUGCCAAACCUGUUUCAAGCCACUUCUGUGUUCAACUUUCCAUGCCUCUGUGACUUUAGAUAAGAACUCAGGAUGCUCUGCAAGACAAUUAAAGAAUCUAAAAGUAUUAGAAGAGCUUCUGAUCUCACCACCCAAUUCCAGGCUUAAGGGAGAAUGAUCUGAUAUCCCUGGGGGUAGUAUCACAACCUCCAGCAUUGACAUAUGUACUAUCCAUUCAGCAUUGACUACUGCAUGAUCAAUUCUACUGUAUGUGUGACCAUUUGUCCAGGUAUAAUCUCUACCAACUGUCUUCAGUUCAGUCAUAUGUGCGCCUACCAAGAAGUCUACAAAGUCUUUAAUUUCUCCCUCCUGUACUGGACUGCCAUUUAAUCUAUCAGUUUCAUUAAGCAUGGCAUUAAAAUCUCCCAUACAUAGUGUAGGCAUCUGUGUAUUUGCCAUCACCAACCUCAGAUCUUCCCUCAAUUGUACUCUGUCCUGAACAGUGUGUAACCCAUAUACAAUCACAAAGCAAAACAUAAUGCUACUUCCUUUCACCUACAAUCUACAUUGAAUAAUCUGGUCAGUUUUAUGAAUUAUAUGAAACACUACAAUUUUAGGAUUCCAAACCAGCCAAAUUCUUCCUUUAGUUGAAUGCUCAUAAUUAGCUACAUACGUCCACGCAGGAGCAAUUUUUUGAACUACUCUACUAGCUAUAUUCUCCUUUAUUUUAUGCUCUAUGAGAGCAAUAAUGCUAACUUUAUUUUCCUUCAAAAAAACUUUCAACUCCUUUUGCUUGUACAGCUUAUUCAAACCCCUCAUAUUCCAGGUUAUCAGCUUCAUUGAACAUGCUUUGGAUGUGUGUCAACCCCUCUCUUUCUCUGCAUGUCAUAAUUUAUGCCCUUAACCUGACAUUCUUCCGAGGUAACAAGAGAGUCAAAUCCAUUAUUCAUCUACAUAACAUGGGAUGUAUUUGACAGUACCACUCUUUUAGCUGCUAAUUUGGUUGUCAUUUGCUUCCAUAAUUCCUCAGCCUUCUCACCUUGUGCCUGCUUAUUCUCAUUGGUACUCUUAGAUGUUCCUGCUUCUACAUUUUUUUCCCUUGCCAUUUUUGGACCACUCGGGGCCCUAUUUUAUCUUUAAUUUCCUCCUUAACUUGACAUUUAAGCCCAACUUGUAAUCAUUUCGUGCAAUAUUCUGGAACCAAUUCGUACUUGACUAUCUGUUCAAAAGUUCUGCUAUUAGGAUCUGUCACUUUAAUCAUCUGAGGCAAUUCUCUUGUUACAUCCAUUUCCACAUGUACCCGAGCAUAUGAUAUACGUUCCACCUUUGUAGUGCACUACUGAUUCUACUUAACGAAUCCAUACCCCAGCAAUUUACGAGUAGAUUUGAAUAUUUUAUCCAAAUCGAAAUGGUAUGCAAUACCUCUUUGUUAAGUUCAAAAUCAACACUCCAAGCUUUAAGUAUGAUUGGACGAUUAUUUAGUAUAUGGGUUCCAGAGUACAACAGCUCAUUAUGAUCGUCCAUACUCGCAAAUUUCACUAAGAAAUAGUCAUCGUUGUGGUAAUAAACUUUAGGUUUGCUAACAUUGUUCAUAUGAGUAGCAAGGUAUCUCUCUAUUGCUGCUAUAGUAGGCGAUUCCCUUACAAUAUAGAGAAUUAAAGCCUGUUUACAUUCCUCUGUAGCUCGAUUCACCUCUUCCUUACUUUAAUUCAAUAAUCUUCUCCCCAUACUUCACAUUCGAAGCCACAUAGUUUAAAUUCAUAUCUUUAGCCGCCAUACGAUUUGAGCCAAAUAGAUUUGACCAUUUCGGAGCUGGUUCUGCAGACAAAUUCAGUUUCCAUUAAGCAUCUACGGGCUCAACUCGACCACCCAUCGUUUGGCUUUGUAUGUCCACUUUUGCAAUCUUCUGGGUUUCAGAUGCAGUAGCUAUAGUUACUGUUCCACUGAAUUUGAGGGUAUCUUCUACAACUAAAGGUGACCAUUGUUGCACCAGUUUCUUUCCCAUCUGCUUGCUAUGUUCUCCACCUUCACCAUCUUUCCCUGUUGUGGAACUCUCCGACGUGUUCACCUUUUUUUUCUAUCUUCCACACGCCAUCUCCGGCUUAGUGGCGCACUUUAGCUAGUCACGCUAACGUGCACCGCGAGAGAGAGAGAGAGGGGUUAUAGGGUUAUUUUCCUGUCAACUUUUGGUUUUCUUUUUAUACCUUUUUUCGUUUCUUUCCUAUCUUAUAUUUUUUAUAUUUUUGAAAAACAUGGCUACUCUAGUACAAGUUACGAAUAAUAACAAAAAUACCAUAAUUACUUA